rnacentral:rRNA from 1 species
GUGGGGAAUAUUGGGCAAUGGGGGAAACCCUGACCCAGCGACGCCGCGUGAGGGAAGACGGCCUUCGGGUUGUAAACCUCUUUUGUACGGGAAGAAGGAAGUGACGGUACUGUACGAAUAAGUCCCGGCUAACUACGUGCCAGCAGCCGCGGUAAUACGUAGGGGACGAGCGUUGUCCGGAAUUACUGGGCGUAAAGGGCGCGCAGGCUGUGCUGCAAGUCAGCUGUGAAAUGUCUGGGCUUAACCCGGGCAUGCGGUUGAGACUGCAGUGCUGGAGUGCUGUAGAGGCAAGUGGAAUUCCCAGUGUAGCGGUGAAAUGCGUAGAUAUUGGGAAGAACACCGGUGGCGAAGGCGACUUACUGGACUGUAACUGACGCUGAGGCGCGAAAGUGUGGGGAGCAAACAGGAUUAGAAACCCCGGUAGUCC